rnacentral:rRNA from 1 species
GACGUAGGGCGCGAGCGUUGUCCGGAUUUAUUGGGCGUAAAGAGCUCGUAGGCGGCUUGUCGCGUCGGCUGUGAAAACCCGCGGCUCAACUGUGGGCGGGCAGCUGAUACGGGCAGGCUGGAGUUCGGUAGGGGAGACUGGAAUUCCUGGUGUAGCGGUGAAAUGCGCAGAUAUCAGGAGGAACACCGGUGGCGAAGGCGCUCAUCUGGCCCAAUACUGACGCUGAGGCGCGAAAGCUAGGGGAGCAAACGGG